GAUUCCCUUAGUAGCGGCGAGCGAAACGGGAAGAGCCCAAACCAACAAGCUUGCUUGUUGGGGUUGUAGGACACUCUAUACGGAGUUACAAAGGACGACAUUAGACGAAUCAUCUGGAAAGAUGAAUCAAAGAAGGUAAUAAUCCUGUAGUCGAAAAUGUUGUCUCUCUUGAGUGGAUCCUGAGUACGACGGAGCACGUGAAAUUCCGUCGGAAUCUGGGAGGACCAUCUCCUAAGGCUAAAUACUCUCUAGUGACCGAUAGUGAACCAGUACCGUGAGGGAAAGGUGAAAAGCACCCCGGAAGGGGAGUGAAAUAGAACCUGAAACCGUGUGCUUACAAGUAGUCAGAGCCCGUUAAUGGGUGAUGGCGUGCCUUUUGUAGAAUGAACCGGCGAGUUACGAUUUGAUGCAAGGUUAAGCAGUAAAUGUGGAGCCGUAGCGAAAGCGAGUCUGAAUAGGGCGUUUAGUAUUUGGUCGUAGACCCGAAACCAGGUGAUCUACCCUUGGUCAGGUUGAAGUUCAGGUAACACUGAAUGGAGGACCGAACCGACUUACGUUGAAAAGUGAGCGGAUGAACUGAGGGUAGCGGAGAAAUUCCAAUCGAACCUGGAGAUAGCUGGUUCUCUCCGAAAUAGCUUUAGGGCUAGCCUCAAGUGAUGAUUAUUGGAGGUAGAGCACUGUUUGGACGAGGGGCCCCUCUCGGGUUACCGAAUUCAGACAAACUCCGAAUGCCAAUUAAUUUAACUUGGGAGUCAGAACAUGGGUGAUAAGGUCCGUGUUCGAAAGGGAAACAGCCCAGACCACCAGCUAAGGUCCCAAAAUAUAUGUUAAGUGGAAAAGGAUGUGGCGUUGCCCAGACAACUAGGAUGUUGGCUUAGAAGCAGCCAUCAUUUAAAGAGUGCGUAAUAGCUCACUAGUCGAGUGACACUGCGCCGAAAAUGUACCGGGGCUAAACAUAUUACCGAAGCUGUGGAUUGUCCUUUGGACAAUGGUAGGAGAGCGUUCUAAGGGCGUUGA
rnacentral:rRNA from 1 species